rnacentral:rRNA from 1 species
ACGGAGCGACGCCGCGAGUGGGAGGAAGCCCUUCGGAGUAGUAACCACUGUCAGGGAUAACCAAGCAAAGUAGGCGAAAAGCCUUCUGCGUUGAGGCGUAGCAGAGGAAGCCACGGCUAGCUUCGUGCCAGCAGCCGCGGUAAUACGACGGUGGCGAGCGAUAGACGGAAUCACUAGGGCUUAAAGGGCACGCAAGCGGACUGUCAAGCGUCUAGUGAAAGCCCCCGGCUUUACCCGGGGAAUAGCUGAGCGACCUGCCAGUCUAGAGGCCGGUAAGGGCGAACGAACUUCUUGGUGGAACGGUGGAAUGCGUAGAUAUCAAGAGGUACGCCGUAGGGCGAAAUCGGCUCUAUGGGCCUGACCUGACGCUGAGGUGCGAAAGCCAGGGGAGCGAACGGGAUUAGAUACCCCGGUAGUCCUGGCCAUAAACGAUGUCCACUAGAUCGGUGAACUUCUGACAGUGCGCCGGUCGAAACAAAAGCGUUAAGUGGACCGCCUGGGGAGUACGGUCGCAAGGCUAAAACUCAAAGGAAUUGACGGGGGCUCACACAAGCGGUGGAGCAUGUUGCUUAAUUCGAUGCAACGCGAAGAACCUUAUCCUGGACUUGACAUGUUAGGAUGCCUCCCUGGAAACAGGGUUGGUUGCCCUUCGGGGUGAAACUUUCACAGGUGCUGCAUGGCUGUCGUCAGCUCGUGUCGUGAGAUGUUGGGUUAAGUCCCGUAACGAGCGAAACCCUUGUCGUUAGUUGCCAGCGCGUAAUGGCGGGGACUCUAGCGAGACUGCCGGUGUUAAACCGGAGGAAGGUGGGGAUGACGUCAAGUCCUCAUGGCCUUUAUGUCCAGGGCUGCAAACGUGCUACAAUGGCGUGUACAAACCGACGCAAGACCGCGAGGUGGAGCAAAUCGGAAAAAGCACGCCCCAGUUCGGAUUGGAGUCUGCAACUCGACUCCAUGAAGUCGGAAUCGCUAGUAAUCGCGUAUCAGC